CCUACGGGGGGCAGCAGUCGAGAAUCAUUCACAAUGGGGGAAACCCUGAUGGUGCGACGCCGCGUGGGGGAAUGAAGGUCUUCGGAUUGUAAACCUCUGUCAUGUGGGAGCAAAUUCAAAAGAUAGUACCACAAGAGGAAGAGACGGCUAACUCUGUGCCAGCAGCCGCGGUAAUACAGAGGUCUCAAGCGGUGUUCGGAAUCACUGGGCUUAAAGCGUGCGUAGGCUGUUUCGUAAGUCGUGUGUGAAAGGCGCGGGCUCAACCCGCGGACGGCAGAUGAUACUGCGAGACUAGAGUAAUGGAGGGGGAACCGGAAUUCGCGGUGUAGCAGUGAAAUGCGUAGAUAUCGAGAGGAACACUCGUGGCGAAGGCAGGUUCCUGGACAUUAACUGACGCUGAGGCACGAAGGCCAGGGGAGCGAAAGGGAUUAGAUACCCGGGUAGUC
rnacentral:rRNA from 1 species